UAACUUUACUCUUUCUGCUAACGUUACCCAUUUUAAAGUCUGUGUUUAUUCUACUAGCAACUUUUGUGAGCUUACUGGGCAAUGCUAACUAGCUUCUGUUAGUAUGCUAACAUUUGUGUCUGCAUUGUUAGCUUAACGUUACUUAAGCCCCUUUUAUACAGCCUGUUCAAGGUGUGAAUGUUGCGGCGUUAUUCUGGGCCUAAAAUGAUAUAAUGUUAACGUUAUAACAGUUAUUCUGGAAAGAACUGCCAUGGAGGAGGAUCUUCAAAACUUUCUACAGUCGAGGGAAGUCCUAGAAGAAGACAUAAACCAAAUGAAAGGAACAAGCUUUAUUCAGACAUGACAGGACAUUGACCAAAAGACAGCGAGGGACUAUACAGAAAUAGAGAGAAAGAGUGCUUCUUUGCCAGGGCAUCGUCUCGUCCCUUGGCUCCCACCUGCUGCAGUGCACAGUUAGAGAAGUAGCGUCCGCUGAGAGGCUCAAUG